UACGUAGGGUGCGAGCGUUAAUCGGAAUUACUGGGCGUAAAGCGUGCGCAGGCGGUUUUUUAAGCCAGAUGUGAAAUCCCCGGGCUCAACCUGGGAACUGCAUUUGGAACUGGAAGACUAGAGUAUAGCAGAGGGGGGCAGAAUUCCACGUGUAGCAGUGAAAUGCGUAGAUAUGUGGAGGAAUACCAAUGGCGAAGGCAGCCCCCUGGGUUAAUACUGACGCUCAUGCACGAAAGCGUGGGGGGAGCAAACAGGAUUAGAUACCCUGGUAGUCCACGCCCUAAACGAUGUCAACUAGGUGUUGGGGGAGGAGACUUCCUUAGUACCGCAGCUAACGCGUGAAGUUGACCGCCUGGGGAGUACGGUCGCAAGAUUAAAACU
rnacentral:rRNA from 1 species